rnacentral:lncRNA from 1 species
GCUUAACCGACCGCGCCACCCAGGCGCCCCUAUUGUUUUCUUUUCAUUUGAAGCUAAUGUAUGAAAACUAAAAGACAAAAAAAUGAACAUGAAGUUACAUUUACUUUUAAAUAAUCUAUCAUUUAUGGAAUUCUUUUUUUUUUUCUUUUUCAGGAAAAGAGAGGCUUUUUAAGUGGGAAAUAUGAUAAAAUAUACAAACUUAAAUCAUGACUUCAAGACCGGAUGCCUGCACAAGCUCUGCCUGAUUUAUUAACCUAAUCAUUGUGAAGGAAUUGGAUCCUGGAGAAUGAUGGCUGGACUUGUUAAGACAGGAUCAGUGGGUGAUCCUGUAGUACAACAAAUCCUUUGUGGAAUGAGGCAAGCCAAAGAACUUGGCGUCCAAACAGAAGUGUCAUCACUUGAUAAUGGAUAUACUUGAAUCAGCCAAGCUACCCAUUCAGCAGCAGGAUAUUUGACAGCCUUUCUGAUUAAGGAAAAGAAGGUACUUUACAAAAAAGUUCUCUCAUGUUCAUGAAUUUUCAAGGUGGGACUUUUAUUUUCCAUCUGGCAUCUGUUUGUUUCUAAUUUUCUCACUUUAGGUGAACAAACUGUAGGGGAUUUAGAGAUAUCAUUCUGAGGCAUAAGGGCAAUCACCUGUACCACUUUUUAAAGAACUGUAGGUUAAUCGGCUCACUUCUC